rnacentral:rRNA from 1 species
GACGAACGCUGGCGGCGUGCUUAACACAUGCAAGUCGAACGGAAAGGCCCUUCGGGGUACUCGAGUGGCGAACGGGUGAGUAACACGUGGGUGAUCUUCCCUGCACUUUGGGAUAAGCCUGGGAAACUGGGUCUAAUACCGAAUGGGACCACGCGCUUCAUGGUGUGUGGUGGAAAGCUUUGGCGGUGUGGGAUGGGCGCGCGGCCUAUCAGCUUGUUGGUGGGGUAGUGGACUACCAAGGCGACGACGGGUAGCCGGGCUGAGAGGGUGGCCGGCCACACUGGGACUGAGAUACGGCCCAGCCUCCUAUGGGAGGCAGGAGUGGGGAAGAGUGUAUAAUGGGCGGAAGCCUGAUGCAGCGAAGCAGCGCGAGGGAUGACGGGAUUCGGGUUGUAAUCCACUGCCAAUAGGGACGAAGCGCAAGUGACGGUACCUAGAGAAGAAGCACCGGCCAACUACGUG